AGAGUUUGAUCCUGGCUCAGGAUGAACGCUGGCGGCGUGCUUAACACAUGCAAGUCGAACGGUGAAGCCAAGCUUGCUUGGUGGAUCAGUGGCGAACGGGUGAGUAACACGUGAGCAACCUGCCCUGGACUCUGGGAUAAGCGCUGGAAACGGCGUCUAAUACUGGAUAUGAGCCUCUAUCGCAUGGUGGGGGUUGGAAAGAUUUUUUGGUCUGGGAUGGGCUCGCGGCCUAUCAGCUUGUUGGUGAGGUAAUGGCUCACCAAGGCGUCGACGGGUAGCCGGCCUGAGAGGGUGACCGGCCACACUGGGACUGAGACACGGCCCAGACUCCUACGGGAGGCAGCAGUGGGGAAUAUUGCACAAUGGGCGGAAGCCUGAUGCAGCAACGCCGCGUGAGGGAUGACGGCCUUCGGGUUGUAAACCUCUUUUAGCAAGGAAGAAGCUUUUGUGACGGUACUUGCAGAAAAAGCGCCGGCUAACUACGUGCCAGCAGCCGCGGUAAUACGUAGGGCGCAAGCGUUAUCCGGAAUUAUUGGGCGUAAAGAGCUCGUAGGCGGUUUGUCGCGUCUGCUGUGAAAUCCCGAGGCUCAACCUCGGGCCUGCAGUGGGUACGGGCAGACUAGAGUGCGGUAGGGGAGAUUGGAAUUCCUGGUGUAGCGGUGGAAUGCGCAGAUAUCAGGAGGAACACCGAUGGCGAAGGCAGAUCUCUGGGCCGUAACUGACGCUGAGGAGCGAAAGGGUGGGGAGCAAACAGGCUUAGAUACCCUGGUAGUCCACCCCGUAAACGUUGGGAACUAGUUGUGGGGUCCUUUCCACGGAUUCCGUGACGCAGCUAACGCAUAAGUC
rnacentral:rRNA from 1 species